rnacentral:lncRNA from 1 species
CUGAAUUUUGCCUCUGGUUUUUCUGGCUCAACAUACAGUUUUUGGGAUUUAGCCAUCUUGUUCUUUGGAUCAAUGGUUCAUUCCUUUUUAUUGCUAAAUACUUAUCCAGUGUAUAACAUACCACAAUUUGCAUAUCCAUUCCAUUGUUGAUGGAUACCUUUCCAGCUUAGAAGUAGUAUGAAUAAUGCUCUGUAAACAUUCUUAUAUAAAUCUGUGUGUGAACAUAAGUUUUUAUUUCUUUUAGGUAAAUAUCUAGAAGAUAACCUGCUGGAUCAUGAGGAGAUAGAGAUUGCAUCUGACUGGGACUAAGCAACCCUCGGAAGCACCAAACCUCACCUCCCUUCUCAACACCUGACUCCGGCCUAGGGCCUUCCCACUGAGGGGGAAUGAAGAAAGAAAAGGAAACCAAGGUAUUGACAGGAAAACCAGCUUCUACUUUCUCCUACGUCUUUGAUGUCACUGUGGAGCAACCAUGAGACUUUCCCUGUUGUCAUUUGUCAAUUCGUCCUUCCCCAAGCCAAGGCAGUUUACUAACGUCUAGACUCAUUAAAGUGGAUGAGAUUUUGUUUCCAAAUCCUGGACAGUGCUAAUGUAAAUGCUUGUUUAUCCAUGGUGGUGCAGAAUGAAGGAAGUCCAUGCUCUGCACAAGUAAAGCGAUGUGUCAUGUCAUAUUGCCAAAAGGUUGCAUCAUUUCUAAACUUUCCGGAAGACUGGAUGGGCAAGAGGUCAUCUAUGUUUAUUUUGUGAAGUUUGCCCUACCAGGAAAUGUGUG